GCUGUGCAUGAUGACAACUGGCUCCCUCUACCGAGCAGCUAUGAGGACAUUACCAUGUCUCUUCUGACACAGC